UAUUCCUACGGGGGGCAGCAGUGGGGGAUAUUGGACAAUGGGGGAAACCCUGAUCCAGCGACGCCGCGUGAGUGAAGAAGUAUUUCGGUAUGUAAAGCUCUGUCAGCAGGGAAGAAAGAAAUGACGGUACCUGACCAAGAAGCCCCGGCUAACUACGUGCCAGCAGCCGCGGUAAUACGUAGGUGGCAAGCGUUAUCCGGAUUUAUUGGGUGUAAAGGGCGUGUAGGCGGGAGCGCAAGUCAGAUGUGAAAACUCAGGGCUCAACCCUGAGCCUGCAUUUGAAACUGGGUUUCUUGAGUGCUGGG
rnacentral:rRNA from 1 species